rnacentral:lncRNA from 10 species
UGGCACACAAAGGUGGCCAAAUCUGAAGACUGGUUCAAUUUCUGGUUGGUAAUUGGCAAUGAUGGAAUGACUGUCCGGAGUAAAGAAGCCUCUCUUUGUUCUUGUGCCAUGAUUUCCCAGCCAGGCAGUGCUUGCAGUUCACUGGACUGAUCAUUUUCUUUCACACUCUGUGCCUUUGCAAAUAUUAUUCUUUUGUCUGAAAAUUGCCUGCUCCCAACCCUUCAUUAUCAUCCCCACUAACUCUCACCCACCCUCCCCAGCUUGUUGACUUGGAAACUCCUUCUUUUUUUACCAGCUGCAAUUCAAGCAACACCUCCUCUGGGGAGCCUUUUCAACUCUGCCUUAGUCUUUUUUGGCCCUAGUUUUUGCAUCUCUCCAGAUUCACUGGGCUUUCUCUGCUUUCUGGGUCACUUGUUCAGUGAAGAACCCCUACCCCAUCAUCACCACAACUCUUAACCCUACCACCCUUAGCCCUUUCCAGAUGAGGGCUGUGCUCUAGCAUGGCUCCUUCAUACUCACCAUGAUGGGACUGCAAAGACCCUGGUGUCUGGGGCCUGAACCCACUGGGCCCCUGAAGUUCAGCUUCCUGCAGCAUUCCCAGAAUCUGAGGAAGCACCGUGAACCGAGGUCUGGGCUCUGACUUCCCUGAUCCUGGAGCCAGGUCAUCCAAUCUGUAAAUGUAAAGGAUGGAAUUAUUUUUACCAAUGAGGAACAGGUAGACUCUUACGCCUUUCUCCCCAUGCCCUAUCCCCACCCUUUACAGACUGUGAAAGCACACAGAUUUCUACUUACAGACUGUUCUGAAGCACAUCGAUUUCCACACGACUGACUGGAGACAUCUAGUGUGAUCGAGACCUCAGCUGUGUGUUAUAAUCAAUGUGCCACCUUUGCUUCCCCCUCUGCUCUCAUUCUUGCUGCUCAAUAACACCGGAACUCUGCUCCAGGUUCUCAUUUCUAUGCAAGUGUAGAAAUCCUCUACAAUCUCCUAGCAACACAGGCAUACCGCUACCCUAGCUUGAAAUAACCUGAGUCAUGAUUGUUAGUUUACUUUAACAGAGAUUCUUGAUUGCAGAGGAACUUUUUUUCAGUGGUCUCAUUACUUAGCACCAUGUUGGGAACAUAGCAGGUGACUCAAUCAACAGUUUUUAAUUAAUUAAUGGCUUUAACAUUAAAUAAUUAUAGAACACAUUUAAAACAAAAAGAGCUCUUAGACAUUUUUGCUUUAAUUCUCUGUGUGAUAUGGAGAAACUGCCUGAGGCCAGGAGAAUUAAGGUACUUUCCAGAGUCAUGCAGCUAUUGAGUAGCCAGACUGGAGAUGGCAUAUUGGUUUCCUGAUCACACAGCACUAUUCUCUUUUAGAAAACUGUUAUUUCCAUUUAUGUGAGUGGAAAACAACAUCAGGAUCAAUCUGGCAAACCCCUGGGAACUGUGUUUCUCCAGGCCAUCUUUAAGCCUUUAGAUUAAAAUAUAAAAUUGGGUAACACUAACAAUAGAAGACAGUGUUCCUUUGCUUCUGUCCCCAUCCUCUACAAAGUCCCUGCUGCCUUUUUUCCUGGAUGUCUCCAGGUGGUGUCUCACAGGUGAUUGCAAACACAGUCCUGCCAGCUCCCAUAUGGCACCUGUCAUGACAUUCCUUUUCUUCUUCAAUUUCUAGCUCAGUGCCCACAGCCAGAGCUUCCCAGGCUGCCUGUCCACGGGUGUGGCACAUCUGCAGAGCCUCAGGUGGCUCCUGCUACUGCUCACCCCACAAGCCCUGACUGCUAAUAUCUGCCCAGGGCCCUGUUUCCUUCCCUAGUAUUCCUGUGGGCUGGUUAGCUUGUUACUCAAGAGCCACCGUGUGGAGUCCAUGCUCCUAUAGUAGCCUAAAAUGAGGAAACUGCCCUUCAUUAACCCAACUCUAGCUUGUUCCAAAACAUGGAGCACAGAACAUUGCUGCCUGUAACCCCUGGAAUGGCACAAGAUUAUCUAUUUAUUUAUCCUUUAAUCACAGCUGGAGGCCUCAGAUAUGAAUAUUCAGGAUUGGUGAAAGAACUCAACAAUUUGACUGAGUGUCAUAAUUGUGGCACAGGGAGGAAGGAAGGACAGCAUACCAAGCCCUUAAUCACACGCUACCCAGAUACCAGCAUAAGGCCCGACAUUCUAGAACAGGGGCCAGCUCAUGGCCUACUUUUCUUUGGCCGGUAAACAUCCAGAUGGCCGGUUUCUGCCUUAACUGAUGACAUUCCGCCACAAAAGAAGUGAAAAUGGCCUAUUCCUGCCUUAACUGAUGACAUUAUCUUGUGAAAUUCCUUCUCCUGGCUCAUCCUGGCUCAAAAGCUCCCCUACUGAGCACCUUGUGACCCCCCAUUCCUGCCCCCCCAGAGAACAACCCCCCUUUUUCCUUUACCUACCCAAAUCCUAUAAAACAGCCCCACCCCUAUCUCCCUUCGCUGACUCUCUUUUCGGACUCAGCCCGCCUGCACCCAGGUGAUUAAAAGCUUUAUUGCUCACACAAAGCCUGUUGGGUGGUCUCUUCACACGGACGCACAUAAAACUUACUAUCAAAUUCUUUAGAAAAAGAGCUUGUGUUCUCAUUGUUCAGUUCCCACCUACGAGUGAGAACAUAUGGUGUUUGGUUUUUUGCCCUUGCGAUAGUUUGCUGAGAAUGAUGGUUUCCAGCUUCAUCCAUGUCCCUACAAAGGACAUGAACCCAUCAUUUUUUAUGGCUGCAUAGUAUUCCAUAGUGUAUAUGUGACACAGGAAGGGG